GUCAAAAAAAUGGUUAGGGACUUAGGAAGAAAGAAAAAGAGCUCGUCCAAGUCCAGCCUGUGGAGCUUUCAGAAUUUUGCAGAGAAGGAGGAAAUGGGAUUCAAGUCCAUGAAGAUCAGACAAACUCUCUCCCAUGCCGUCAGUCUCGGGGUAUCAGUUGCAACAGCAUUGAUGAUUUGGAAAGCGUUAAUGUGCAUGACUGGGUGUGAAUCUCCUGUUGUGGUUGUGCUCACUGGCAGCAUGGAACCUGGCUUUUCAAGGGGUGACCUUCUGUUCUUGCAUAUGAGUAAGGAUCCAAUCCGUGCGGGCGAAAUCUUAGUGUUCAUUGUAAAAGAUCGAGAAAUUCCAAUUGUCCAUCGAGUAAUCCGCGUUCAUGAGGAGCGUGAUACUGAUGAAAGUUACUUUCUCACAAAAGGAGAUAGUAACCACCUAGAUGAUAGAGCUUUGUAUGCUCAUGGCCAGGAUUGGUUGGAACCGCAACAUAUCAUGGGUAGAGCAGUUGGGUACGUCAGCAAUAAAUUACCGCUGAGAACUACAACCUGGGUGCACAACCAGGAAAAUUCUUCCAUAUAAUUUAGAUCAUAGUACUUGCCAUAUUUUGGUUAUGUGACCAUUAUCAUGACAGAGAAGCCUAUAAUCAAGUACAUACUCUUUGGGACACUGGGAUUGCUACUUAUUUCCCCAAGGAAUUAGAGAUGCAGCUUUUAAAAUUUACAGACAUUUUCCUGACCCAUAAUAGCUGUAUACGAUUCAUCACUGUCCUUGUAUUGAUGAUCCUCUGUAUUCUUUGUAAACCACAAUGUAACCAAACUUUGAAUUGCAUACAAACCAAAUGAUAUUCCAGAACCCAGGAGAACCCCACAACGUACAUCC